rnacentral:rRNA from 1 species
UACGUAGGGGGCAAGCGUUGUCCGGAUUUAUUGGGCGUAAAGAGCGUGUAGGCGGUUCGGUAGGUCCGUUGUGAAAACUCGAGGCUCAACCUCGAGACGCCGAUGGAAACCCCCGAACUAGAGUCCGGAAGAGGAGACUGGAAUUCCUGGUGUAGCGGUGAAAUGCGCAGAUAUCAGGAGGAACACCGGUGGCGAAGGCGGGUCUCUGGGCCGAUACUGACGCUGAGGAGCGAAAGCGUGGGGAGCGAACAGG